rnacentral:rRNA from 1 species
CCCUUAGAUGUCCGGGGCCGCACGCGCGCUACACUGAAGGAAUCAGCGUGGCUUUCUCCCUGACCCGAAAGGGUUGGGAAACCCGUUGAAUCUCCUUCGUGAUAGGGAUUGGGGCUUGAAAUUGUUCCCCAUGAACGAGGAAUUCCCAGUAAGCGCGAGUCAUAAGCUCGCGUUGAUUACGUCCCUGCCCUUUGUACACACCGCCCGUCGCUACUACCGAUUGAACGGUUUAGUGAGGGCCUCGGAUUGGUCUCGGCCCGCUCUUUACCGGGCAGCGCCGUUGGUCGAGAAGACGCUCGAACUUGAUCGUUUAGAGGAAGUAAAAGUCGUAACA